rnacentral:lncRNA from 1 species
AAACACAUUACUAUCCGCGUGUCUGAUGCGGGGAAGUCCACGUCUUACUGGAGAGAUUCCCUAUCUGAAGCAUUCGUCCUCUCACAAUGGAGGCAGCUCACACAAAAACGACGGAGGAGGUCCUCAAGUACUUCGGUGUUGACGAAGAGGUUGGCUUGACCGACGAACAGAUUAGGAGAGCAAAGGAGAAAUAUGGACCUAACGAAUUGCCUGCUGAAGAAGGAAAACCACUGUGGGAGCUCAUUGUAGAACAGUUUGAUGACCUCCUUGUAAAGAUCCUGUUACUUGCAGCUGUAAUUUCAUUUGUA